rnacentral:rRNA from 1 species
UACGGAGGGUGCAAGCGUUAUCCGGAUUCACUGGGUUUAAAGGGUGCGUAGGUGGAUCGAUAAGUCAGUGGUGAAAGCCCCGAGCUCAACUUGGGAAUUGCCAUUGAUACUGUUGAUCUUGAGUGCGGUUGAGGUAGACGGAAUAUGUCAUGUAGCGGUGAAAUGCUUAGAUAUGACAUAGAACACCAAUUGCGAAGGCAGUUUACCAAGCCGAUACUGACACUGAGGCACGAAAGCGUGGGGAUCAAACAGG